UGGGGAAUAUUGCACAAUGGGGGAAACCCUGAUGCAGCGACGCCGCGUGAACGAAGAAGGUAUUCGUAUCGUAAAGUUCUGUUCUAUGGGAAGAUAAUGACAGUACCAUAGAAGAAAGCUCCGGCUAAAUACGUGCCAGCAGCCGCGGUAAUACGUAUGGAGCGAGCUUUGUCCGGAAUUAUUGGGCGUAAAGGGUACGCAGGCGGUUUAAUAAGUCGAAUGUUAAAGAUCGGGGCUCAACCCCGUAAAGCAUUGGAAACUGAUAGACUUGAGUAGUUGAGAGGAAAGUGGAAUUCCUAGUGUAGUGGUGAAAUACGUAGAUAUUAGGAGGAAUACCAGUAGCGAAGGCGACUUACUGGACACAAACUGACGCUGAGGUACGAAAGCGUGGGGAGCAAACAGG
rnacentral:rRNA from 1 species